rnacentral:rRNA from 1 species
AAACCAACCGGGAUUGCCUUAGUAACGGCGAGUGAAGCGGCAAAAGCUCAAAUUUGAAAUCUGGUACCUUCGGUGCCCGAGUUGUAAUUUGGAGAGGGCAACUUUGGGGCCGUUCCUUGUCUAUGUUCCUUGGAACAGGACGUCAUAGAGGGUGAGAAUCCCGUGUGGCGAGGAGUGCGGUUCUUUGUAAAGUGCCUUCGAAGAGUCGAGUUGUUUGGGAAUGCAGCUCUAAGUGGGUGGUAAAUUCCAUCUAAAGCUAAAUAUUGGCGAGAGACCGAUAGCGAACAAGUACAGUGAUGGAAAGAUGAAAAGAACUUUGAAAAGAGAGUGAAAAAGUACGUGAAAUUAUUGAAAGGGAAGGGCAUUUGAUCAGACAUGGUGUUUUGUGCCCUCUGCUCCUUGUGGGUAGGGGAAUCUCGCAUUUCACUGGGCCAGCAUCAGUUUUGGUGGCAGGAUAAAUCCAUAGGAAUGUAGCUUGCCUCGGUAAGUAUUAUAGCCUGUGGGAAUACUGCCAGCUGGGACUGAGGACUGCGACGUAAGUCAAGGAUGCUGGCAUAAUGGUUAUAUGCCGC